AUUGAACGCUGGCGGCAGGCUUAACACAUGCAAGUCGAGCGGGGGAAGGUAGCUUGCUACCGGACCUAGCGGCGGACGGGUGAGUAAUGCUUAGGAAUCUGCCUACUAGUGGGGGACAACAGCUCGAAAGGGAUGCUAAUACCGCCUACGUCCUACGGGCGAAAGCAGGGGAUCUUCGGACCUUGCGAUAAUAGAUGAGCCAAAGUCGGAUUAGCUAGUUGGUGGGGUAAAGGCCUACCAAGGCGACGAUCUGUAGCGGGUCUGAGAGGAUGAUCCGGCACACUGGGACUGAGACACGGCCCAGACUCCUACGGGAGGCAGCAGUGGGGAAUAUUGGACAAUGGGGGGAACCCUGAUCCAGCCAUGCCGCGUGUGUGAAGAAGGCCUUAUGGUUGUAAAGCACUUUAAGCGAGGAGGAGGCUACUCUAGUUAAUACCUAGAGAUAGUGGACGUUACUCGCAGAAUAAGCACCGGCUAACUCUGUGCCAGCCGCCGCCGUAA
rnacentral:rRNA from 1 species